rnacentral:rRNA from 1 species
UACGUAGGGGGCAAGCGUUGUCCGGAUUCAUUGGGCGUAAAGAGCUCGUAGGCGGUUCAGCAAGUCGGGUGUGAAACCUCCAGGCUCAACCUGGAGACGCCACCCGAUACUGCUGUGACUUGAGUCCGGUAGGGGACCACGGAAUUCCUGGUGUAGCGGUGAAAUGACGCAGAUAUCAGGAGGAACAUCGGUGGCGAAGGCGGGACUCUGGGCCGAUACUGACGCUGAGGAGCGAAAGCGUGGGGAGCAAACAGG